UACGUAGGAUGCAAGCGUUGUCCGGAAUUAUUGGGCGUAAAGAGCGCGCAGGCGGUUUGCCAAGUCAGAUGUGAAAGAGGCCGGCUUAACCGGCAAGGGUCAUUUGAAACUGACAGACUAGAGUGCAGCAGAGGAUAGCGGAAUUCCCGGUGUAGUGGUGAAAUGCGUAGAUAUCGGGAGGAACACCAGUGGCGAAGGCGGCUAUCUGGGCUGCAACUGACGCUGAGGCGCGAAGGCUAGGGUAGCAAACAGG
rnacentral:rRNA from 1 species